GAUGAACGCUGGCGGCGUGCCUAAUACAUGCAAGUCGAGCGAACAGACGAGGAGCUUGCUCCUCUGACGUUAGCGGCGGACGGGUGAGUAACACGUGGAUAACCUACCUAUAAGACUGGGAUCACUUCGGGAAACCGGAGCUAAUACCGGAUAAUAUAUUGAACCGCAUGGUUCAAUAGUGAAAGACGGUUUUGCUGUCACUUAUAGAUGGAUCCGCGCCGCAUUAGCUAGUUGGUAAGGUAACGGCUUACCAAGGCAACGAUGCGUAGCCGACCUGAGAGGGUGAUCGGCCACACGAGAGCGGGGACGCGGUCCAGGCUCCUACGGGAGGCAGCAGAAGGGAAUCUGCCGCAGUGGGCGGAAACCUUGCGGAGCAACGCCGCGUGAGUUAUGAAGGUCUUCGGAGCGUAAAGCUCUGUUAUGAGUGAAGAACAAAUUUGUGAGUAACUAUACACGUCUUGACGGUACCUGAACAGAAAGCCACGGCUAACUACGUG
rnacentral:rRNA from 1 species